rnacentral:rRNA from 1 species
AGUGAACGCUGGCGGUAGGCCUAACACAUGCAAGUCGAACGGCAGCACAGUAAGAGCUUGCUCUUACGGGUGGCGAGUGGCGGACGGGUGAGGAAUACAUCGGAAUCUACUUUUUCGUGGGGGAUAACGUAGGGAAACUUACGCUAAUACCGCAUACGACCUACGGGUGAAAGCAGGGGAUCUUCGGACCUUGCGCGAUUGAAUGAGCCGAUGUCGGAUUAGCUAGUUGGCGGGGUAAAGGCCCACCAAGGCGACGAUCCGUAGCUGGUCUGAGAGGAUGAUAGGCCACACUGGAACGGGGACACGGUCCAGACUACUGCGGGAGGCAGCAGUGGGGAAUAUGGGACAAUGGGGGCAAGCCUGAUCCAGCCAUACCGCGUGGGUGAAGAAGGCCUUCGGGUUGUAAAGCCCUUUUGUUGGGAAAGAAAAGCAGCAGGUUAAUACCCAGCUGUUCUGACGGUACCCAAAGAAUAAGCACCGGCUAACUUCGUG